UUUGAUUUUGUACUCGUAAACCACUGUUCUCUUCCACAAUCUGAACAUGUUCUAGCUUCAACUUUUCGUUCUCUAUUUCCUAAAUACGGAACGUAAAAAACAUCCACGCAAGAAGAAAAGGUAAUGUAAGUAUAAAGAGAUGAUCAGAUUGAUGUAUUGUCUAUGUUUAGCGUGUAAAUAUUUACUAGGAUACUUAUGAUAACUGAGAAUGUAUGCAUGUUUGUAGAUUUACCAGCGACUGUAUUUUCCGUUUUAGUUCGUCUGCAUACUCUCCAGAUACCGUAUUAUUGGAACAAGAUGGUGAAGAAUUUUCACUAGAUACUGCAUUCAGACGUUGCUCUAAAAGGUUC
rnacentral:lncRNA from 1 species